rnacentral:rRNA from 1 species
AUUGAACGCUGGCGGCAGGCCUAACACAUGCAAGUCGAACGAGUGGCGGACGGGUGAGUAAUGUCUGGGAAACUGCCUGUUGGAGGGGGAUAACUACUGGAAACGGUAGCUAAUACCGCAUACCAUCAGAUGUGCCCAGAUGGGAUUAGCUUGUUGGUGGGGUAACGGCGCACCAAGGCGACGAUCCCUAGCUGGGCUGAGAGGAUGACCAGCGACACUGGAAUUGGGGAACGGCCCGGACCCCUAGGGGAGGCAGCCGUGGGAAAUAUCGCACAAUGGGCGCAAGCGUGAUUCAGCCAUGACGCGUGUAUGAAGAAGGCCUUCGGGUUGUAAAGUUCUUUCAGCGGGGAGGCGUUACCCGCAGAAGAAGCACCGGCUAACUACGUGCCAGCAGCCGCGGUAAUUC